rnacentral:lncRNA from 1 species
UGUCACAUUCUAUUCAUUUCUAUUCUAAAGUUUGAUUUCUUAUUCUACUCUCAUUUUAUUUUUGUCCUUACAGACACCUGAGGUAGAAGUGCCACAAGACUUCUUAAAUUUUUCCACAACUUUAGCCAAAAUCCAAGACUUAUUUUCACUAUGGAUGUAUGCAAUCACACAUCCAUAUUUAUUUCUUUAUCUCUGGUGAUUUUGUUGCCAUGUAUAACGUUACAGAUGUUAUUGACUGGAACGCAGGACUCUGAAACAAGCACCAACUUCCCUUCUGCCUUCUCAUUGGUCUUUGCAGACGAACAACCGCAGAAGAGCUUGAAAAUACACCAAAAAUAACUUGAAUUAAAAAGAGCACAGUCAUCUUGAAGACA